rnacentral:lncRNA from 1 species
AUAACAAUUAAGAAGAAGUUGAUAAAAACAUAUAACACAAACAAAACAUAUAAAAUAUUUAAAAUAAUUAGGAAAAUAUGAUUUAAUUGAAAGCAGUCUGAAAAAUGUUUAAAUAAGAUUUAACACAAUAAAAACAUGAAAAAUUAAAAAUCUACGUAUGUUGAUAAAGAUGUCAGAAAAAUGUUUACAAAUUUCUGAAAAUUAAAAAUUUCACAAAAGUUGUCUUAGUCUAAGAAUAUAUUUUCCUCAAAUCUUGAAAGUCCAUAAUAAUUUAUCACACAAUCAAAAUCUUCAAGGGCAUUCCUAUAGACUACACCUAUUCGAUCCAAAACAUAGUUAUCUAAUAAGGGACAUGACGAGUGCCUACUGGGCCUCUACCUGAACUUCAUUAACUCAGACAAACAUAGUUCACUCGAUCAAGGAUCUCUGCUAAUUUCCUUGUCCUCAAACACCUAUUGCAUCAAUGAUAAUAUAUUUUAUAAUUUAAAAGAUACAGUCAACAAAGAAAAAAUACUCUUAACAUGUCUCCUUAGUUUUGAUGUAAUGCAUUACUUAGCUUUUAAGGAAUGAACAUUUUGAUUUUUUUAAAAAUAGAUGUAAUUGAAAUAAAGUUUACAAAAGGUAGAAUAUGAUGAUUAGGAAUACUUGUUAAUUGGCUAAAAUAUGUUAAUUGUUGCCAUUUAGUGUGUUUUCAUUAAGAAUUAAUUAUAAAAAAUAUAGUUAUCAUUUAAUAAAUAUAAGGCAUUGUUAGAGAUUACAUUUUAGAGGAAGGGAGAUGCAUAGUUGAAAAGGUCAUUUUAUAAAUAUAAAGCAGUAUUAGAGCUCAAAUUUUAGCGGAAGAGAAGCAUAGUUGAAAUUUGAAAAGAUCUACCAAGUUUUCUUUCUAGUCUAAAAUAUCACAUUCUAAAUAAAGACCUUAAUGAUGUUUGAUGAUGUCUAUAAUCUAUUGUUUGGACUCUGGAUUAUAGUAUCUCUUUCUCUUUCAUUCAAAUUUGUUAAUGAUAAAAAAUGACUAACAACUUGUUUGUAUACCAGGCGAAACAUGUUGGUAUACUAUCUUAUAUACCAGUACCAUACUAUGAUAUUUUAUUGAAACCGAUAUCGGACUGAGAUUGAAAAUAUUAUUUUUUGGUGUGUAUUUUGUUUAUUUCAAUUUGUUUACAAGAGUAGUUCUGAUUCAUUUUUAUGGGCAUUAACUUUAUUUCUGGUAACAUGUGGAAUUUUACUGCAAGACAACUACGUAGUUUGCCAACAUGGCAACCAAUUUUAGUUACUAAGAAUUUUAGUUAAAAGCAAGGGCUUUUCAAUUUUAGUUAUUUUGGGUUACAUGAAUGAACAAAUAGUGUACCUUUUUUUCCCAAAAGUAGACAAAUUUAAACAUGCAAGAUGAUAUGCUAUACAUUGUUUGUAAAAAAUGAACUAACAAAAUGAAAGAAUGCAGGAAGAACUCGCAAGACUCUGAACGUUUACAUCUUUGGGCAAUGUAUCAUUCGAACCAGAAGCUCAGCUUAAACACAUAUUUUACCUUCAUUUGAAUUAGUGAAUUGGUCCCCCCUCUCUCACUUUGUUAAGCCUUCUGAAUUUUUUUAAUGAAAUAUUGCAAACUUGUUUGAAGAGUUCAAUUAUUCUAAGAAUUACUUCAAUGCAUUUCUAAUUUUAGUAAGAUGUGUCAUAAUUUUAGAAAGCAGUUAUUCAACCUAAGAAGAACUGUAAACCAUAGUAUAUAUCAUAAUAGUAAAGAGAUACCAAACAAAUAAAUCUAUGAGCUUGAUAAAG